GCCGAAAUGGCUCAGUUGGGUUGUGAGUUGGGAGAGCGUUAGACUUAAGAUCUAAAGCUCCCUGGUUCGGUUUCGGCAGCUAGGCAGCUGCGUUUUGGAUGCAUGCUACCGUGAUGGUGUGAGUCGUGACCUCUUACGUGUUAUGAUUCGAUCCCGGGUUUCGGCA
rnacentral:tRNA from 1 species